CGCUGGCGGCAUGCCUUACACAUGCAAGUCGAACGGCAGCACGGAGCUUGCUCUGGUGGCGAGUGGCGAACGGGUGAGUAAUAUAUCGGAACGUACCCAAGAGUGGGGGAUAACGUAGCGAAAGUUACGCUAAUACCGCAUACGAUCUCAGGAUGAAAGCAGGGGACCGCAAGGCCUUGUGCUCCUGGAGCGGCCGAUAUCUGAUUAGCUAGUUGGUGGGGUAAAGGCCCACCAAGGCAACGAUCAGUAGCUGGUCUGAGAGGACGACCAGCCACACUGGAACUGAGACACGGUCCAGACUCCUACGGGAGGCAGCAGUGGGGAAUUUUGGACAAUGGGGGCAACCCUGAUCCAGCAAUGCCGCGUGAGUGAAGAAGGCCUUCGGGUUGUAAAGCUCUUUUGUCAGGGAAGAAAAGGCUGCAGCAAAUAUCUGCGGCUCAUGACGGUACCUGAAGAAUAAGCACC
rnacentral:rRNA from 1 species